GGGGAAUUUUGCACAAUGGGCGAAAGCCUGAUGCAGCGACGCCGCGUGCGGGAAGAAGGCCUUCGGGUUGUAAACCGCUUUCAACAGGGAAGAAGGAAUGAGGGCUAAUACCCCUCUGCCUUGACGGUACCUGUAGAAGAAGCUCCGGCUAAUUUCGUGCCAGCAGCCGCGGUAAUACGAAAGGAGCAAGCGUUGUUCGGAUUUACUGGGCGUAAAGCGAGCGUAGGUGGUUUGUUAAGUCGGGUGUGAAAUCCCAGGGCUCAACCCUGGAACUGCACUCGAUACUGGCAGGCUAGAGUUCGGGAGGGGGAAGCGGAAUUCCGUGUGUAGCAGUGAAAUGCGUAGAUAUACGGAGGAACACCUGAGGCGAAGGCGGCUUCCUGGACCGAUACUGACACUGAGGCUCGAAAGCGUGGGUAGCAAAC
rnacentral:rRNA from 1 species